rnacentral:tRNA from 1 species
GGAGGGAUACCCAAGUGGCCAAAGGGGCCAGGCUGUAAACCUGGUGCGUUCGCGCUUCGAAGGUUCGAAUCCUUCUCCCUCCA